AGUGGCGGACGGGUGAGUAACGCGUGGGCAACCUACCCCACGACAGGGGGACAACAGUUGGAAACGACUGCUAAUACCGCAUAGGCGCACAGCUUCGCAUGAAGCAGUGUGGAAAACCGAGGUGGUGUGGGAUGGGCCCGCGUCUGAUUAGCUAGUUGGCGGGGUAACGGCCCACCAAGGCGACGAUCAGUAGCCGGCCUGAGAGGGUGGACGGCCACAUUGGGACUGAGACACGGCCCAAACUCCUACGGAAGGCAGCAG
rnacentral:rRNA from 1 species